rnacentral:rRNA from 1 species
GGUAAUUCCAGCUCCAAUAGUUUAUAUUAAAGUUGUUGUGGUUAAAAAGCUCGUAGUUGGAACCUGGCAUGCAGGGGGCGGUCCAUUAUUUGAUGCGACUGCCCCAUUUGCGUGUUUUUUUAGGCGGAAUUCCUUGGGUGCUCUUCACCGAGUGUCCUUGGAGGCCGCCAGGUUUACUUUGAAAAAAUUAGAGCGCUCCAAGCAGGCUCUACACGCCUGAAUAUUCGUGCAUGGAAUAAUGAAAUAGGACGUCGUUCCUAUUUUGUUGGUUUUAGGGAUUCGACGUAAUGAUUAAUAGGGACAGCCGGGGGCAUUAGUAUGCAGACGACAGAGGUGAAAUUCUUGGACCGUCUGCCGACUAACUACUGCGAAAGCAUUUGCCAAGAGUGUUUUCAUUAAUCAAGAACGAAAGUUAGAGGUUCGAAGGCGAUCAGAUACCGCCCUAGUUCUAACCAUAAACGAUGCCAGCUAGCGAUCUGCAGGCGUUUUUUUUGUAGGCCCUGCAGGAAGCUUCCGGGAAACCAAAGCAUUUGGGUUCCAGGGGAAGUAUGGUUGCAAAGCUGAAACUUAAAGGAAUUGACGGAAGGGCACCACCAGGCGUGGAGCUUGCGGCUUAAUUUGACUCAACACUGGAAAUCUCACCAGGCCCGGACACCGGCAGGAUUGACAGAUUGAGAGCUCUUUCUCGAUUCGGUGGGUGGUGGUGCAUG